ensembl:snRNA U6 U6 spliceosomal RNA
GAUGACUGUGCUCGCUUUGUACUAAAAUUGGAACGAGACAGAGAAGAUUAGCAUGGCCCCAGAGCAAGGAUAACAGGCAAAUUCGUGAAGCGUUCCAUAUUUAA